rnacentral:rRNA from 1 species
GAUGAACGCUGGCGGCGUGCCUAAUACAUGCAAGUCGAGCGAACGGACGAGAAGCUUUCUUCUCUGAUGUUAGCGGCGGACGGGUGAGUAACACGUGGAUAACCUACCUAUAAGACUGGGAUAACUUCGGGAAACCGGAUCUAAUACCGGAUAAUAUUUUGAACCGCAUGGUUCAAAAGUGAAAGACGGUCUUGCUGUCACUUAUAGAUGGAUCCGCGCUGCAUUAGCUAGUUGGUAAGGUAACGGCUUACCAAGGCAACGAUGCAUAGCCGACCUGAGAGGGUGAUCGGCCACACUGGAACUGAGACACGGUCCAGACUCCUACGGGAGGCAGCAGUAGGGAAUCUUCCGCAAUGGGCGAAAGCCUGACGGAGCAACGCCGCGUGAGUGAUGAAGGUCUUAGGAUCGUAAAACUCUGUUAUUAGGGAAGAACAUAUGUGUAAGUAACUGUGCACAUCUUGACGGUACCUAAUCAGAAAGCCACGGCUAACUACGUG